rnacentral:rRNA from 1 species
CUCGAUAAUCCACGUAUACCCAACCUUCUCUUGACAUACAGCAUGUGUACUGCCGUUGCAAGCAUACCUUUAAAAGUAUAGUAUGCUACUAUGAUUAAGUACUCAUACACAUCAGGUCAAAGUGCAGCUAAUAAGAAGGUGAUGAUGGGUUACAACCCCAAAACAGACUAUCAACUAAGAAAUAAAAAAUCUUACGAAAGUGGACUUGGCCGUAAUCGAUUCUAAAUUAAAAAAAUGAAUAAUAUCUAAGACAUGUACACAUCGCCCGUCACUCUAUCCUAAAGGUUAGAUAAGUCGUAACAAAGUAGGUGUAAUGGAAAUUGUACCUGUCGGAGUAUAGCAUAUAAAAUGCUUUUUACUUACACUAAAAAUAAAGUUAAUAAACUUACUUCGCACACACACUACAACCCUAUAAACCACUAAAUAAUAAAAAUAAUUAAAAAAUUUAAUUAAUACAAAAGUACAGAAAUGGAAAAAUAAAUAAAUAAAAGUAAAUUUUAAAAAAUGUACCUUGUGCAUUAUGGUUUUACAAGAAAUAGAUUAAACACAUUAAUCCCGAAUUCUAAGUGAGAUGUUAAACUGCUGUUAUGAACCCAUUAAUAACUGUGAAAAAAGCUUUAAAAGACAGUUUAACAGAGGCUACAUACCAUCCGCAUAAGAAUAUAGCUGGUUUUCAACAAACAUUAUACAUUAAAACAUAUAAUAAUAUUAUAAUGUAAAAUUAUUGAGGAUAAGCCCAAUAAUUUGUGCAAUUAAGCAUUCAUUCUACUUUAUUUUAUAGGCCUAAAACCAGCCAACUAAAAUACUUUACCGUAAUAUAAGAAGAUAUAAUAUAUAUUAUGUCUAUGCCCCAAAAAGUUGAAAUAGUGGAAGAACUAAUUUGUCCACCCAUAUUAUGUAAAAAUAAGUAUUAUAAAUUUAUAGCAACAACAAUCUAGAAAAAACACUCUAUAAGCAACAAUAAUUAAUUAAGGAACUCGGCAAACUAUUAUUUCGACUGUUUAACAAAAACAUUGUCUUAUGAAUAAAAUAUUAGAUAAUACCUGC